AGCAGCCGCGGUAAUUCCAGCUCCAAUAGCGUAUAUUAAAGUUGCUGCAGUUAAAAAGCUCGUAGUUGAAUUUCGGGACUAAUAUGUCGGUCGUGCCUCGGUACGUACUGGCUUAUUGGUUUCUCCUUUCUGAAGAACCAUGAUGUCAUUUAUUUGGUGUCGUGGGGAAUCAGGACUGUUACUUUGAAAAAAUUAGAGUGUUUAAAGCAGGCUCACGCUUGAAUACAUUAGCAUGGAAUAAUGAAAUAGGACGUUUGAUUCUAUUUUGUUGGUUUCUAGGAUCGACGUAAUGAUUAAUAGGGAUAGUUGGGGGCAUUAGUAUUCAAUUGUCAGAGGUGAAAUUCUUGGAUUUAUUGAAGACUAACUACUGCGAAAGCAUUUGCCAAGGAUGUUUUCAUUAAUCAAGAACGAAAGUUAGGGGAUCGAAGACGAUCAGAUACCGUCGUAGUCUUAACCAUAAACUAUGCCGACUAGGGAUCGGAUGAUGUUAAUUUUUUAAUGACUCA
rnacentral:rRNA from 2 species